UUUGGGUUAGGGUGAGAACGCGCGGAAAGUAAAGCUGGAAAAGGCAAGGAGGCGUUGGCAUGCUGACCACCUGUUCCUCCAGCGAGUGCUCCGCGCUGCUAUAGGCUGGAGUGUCGCCCGGGUACCGGAAGUGGCCGAUGCCCAUCGCCCGUGACACCAAGACAACAGCUGCAGGUUCUGCGCUAGCUGCCGAGCGGCGCCGGGAGCCCAAGCGGAGUGAACGUGGGGCGGUAGCGGCCAGCGAUUGUGAGAUGGGGACCGAGAACAAAGAGGUAAUUAAGGAAGAAAUUUCUGAAGAAUCUGAGCUGCAUGGGCAAACAUUGGAAAAACUUCCAAAAGUGAUUUACCAAGUUCAUGGAUUUGGAGCAGUGUGUGAAAAAGACAUAUUAGAGGGACAUUCAAGAGAGUCCUCAGAAGAAAUUAUACAACAGAUGUCUCCCCAGGAGAGAGAUUUUGCACCAGGGUUGAUUAUCUUUAAGAAAUCACCCUCAAGUGAGAAAGACCAGAAGAAUAGUGAAAGCAAGAGAGGCUGCAGUCCUAGUCCUAAUCUGGUGACACAUCAGGGAGAUACCACAGCAGAGAGUGUUAGUACCUUUGCUAUUUCUGGCCAAAACUUCAUGGAGAAUUUAGAACCUAGCAGAAUUCAGAGGACAUCUGGGGGGGAAAAGCCUCAUACAUGUAAAGAAUGUGGGAAAGCCUUUAAUCAGAACUCACAUCUCAUCCAGCAUAUGAGAGUUCAUAGUGGAGAAAAACCCUUUGAAUGCAAAGAAUGUGGAAAGACAUUUGGAACUAACUCAAGCCUUCGAAGGCACCUGAGAAUUCAUGCUGGAGAGAAACCCUUUGCUUGUAAUGAAUGUGGAAAGGCCUUCAUUCAGAGUUCACAUCUUAUCCACCAUCAUAGGAUUCACACCGGAGAGAGACCCUAUAAAUGUGAAGAAUGCGGUAAAGCCUUCAGUCAGAAUUCAGCCCUUAUUCUACACCAGAGAAUCCACACUGGAGAGAAACCUUAUGAAUGUAAUGAAUGUGGGAAGACCUUUAGGGUUAGCUCACAGCUUAUUCAGCAUCAGAGAAUUCAUACUGAAGAAAGAUACCAUGAGUGCAAUGAGUGUGGCAAAGCCUUCAAGCAUAGCUCGGGCCUUAUUAGACACCAGAAAAUUCAUACUGGAGAAAAACCCUAUCUGUGUAAUGAGUGUGGGAAGGGCUUUGGUCAGAGUUCUGAACUUAUCCGUCAUCAAAGAAUUCACACAGGAGACAAACCCUAUGAAUGUAAUGAAUGUGGGAAAACCUUUGGCCAGAACUCAGAGAUUAUUAGACAUAUUAGAAUUCACACUGGUGAGAAGCCCUACGUAUGUAAAGAAUGUGGGAAAGCCUUCAGGGGGAAUUCAGAACUUCUUAGACAUGAGAGAAUUCACACAGGAGAGAAACCCUAUGAGUGCUUUGAGUGUGGGAAGGCCUUCAGGCGGACAUCUCACCUUAUUGUCCACCAGAGAAUCCAUACUGGAGAGAAACCCCAUCAAUGUAAUGAGUGUGCGAGAACCUUUUGGGAUAACUCUGAGCUGCUUCUUCACCAGAAAAUUCAUAUUGGAGAGAAGCCUUAUGAGUGUAGUGAGUGUGAGAAAACAUUCAGCCAGCACUCCCAACUUACCAUACAUCAGAGAAUUCAUACGGGAGAGAAGCCUUACGAGUGCCAAGAGUGUCAGAAGACCUUUAGUCGGAGCUCUCACCUCCUCCGACAUCAAAGUGUUCAUUGUAUGGAAUGACCUGCAAAAUAGAAAAGCUUUCUGGGGAAAGGCUGAAGUCAUACUUAUUGGUCUUAAUAUGCAUCCCAGAUUCUCAGAUCAAAUGAAAGGAAAGACCUCUGUCCUUCCACUGAUUUUUUUUUUUUUUUUUAAUUUCAAUCGUUGGUUGAAAAAGGAUGAGGCACUUUUAUGAACUAUUCAUUGAGAAGUUUUGAUGUACUGGUUUAAAUCAUAAAAGCUGUUUCAGGCCUUAAUUCUCAUCUGUCCCUCUUCCCUUCCCCUCUUUGCUCCUCCCCCAGUGGAUUACAUAACAUUAUGGGUUUGUACCUGCCAUCUAUCCUACUUGGUUGCUCUUCUGAAAAGUGGAGAAACAGGAUUCACCACCUCCUAAAAAUUACAGGGCUGACUCAUUGAACUUUACCCUCUGAAAUGUUAUAAAGUAAUGACCUAGAUGACACAUCUCAUUUUUGUGUCCACUGUUUAGCCUUGGAAUAAUUUAGCAUAUUUCUAUUAAUAGCCUCAAGGUCUUCCAGCUAUGCUAUCAAGUUCCCUUAGAAGAUGGCAGCAUUAAUGAAAAAGCAGGAAGGUUGGGUCAUUUCACAUCUGUUAGGCUUCCUCAUUCAUCUGAAGAGGAUGCCGUGAAGGAGGAAACUGACAGGCAGUUCACAGAAUUGUAAAUGAAGGCCGCAGGAUCCAAAAGGUCUGAUUGAGCAAGGUGCUGAUGACUGCAGUGUGCUCUCUCAUUCCUUAUUUGUUACUCAAGCUCAAAUGAGUUGUGCUGAGAACAUCUUUCUCACAUGAAACCUGGAUGCUACCUAACUUCUGAUUUUUGUGUUUGUAUAAUUUAUUGCCACCUUCAUCUCUUGCCAGUCCAGAACUUAGCAACUCUUCAAGCUCUCCCCACAAAGAUUCUACCUAAACAAAUGCAUGAGUAAUAAGGAUUUCAUUGACGAUGCUGUGUGAAAGGUGGAGAAAAGUUCACAUUGUACAUCCCAUCAGACACUUUUUUCCACAUUUUUUAAUUGGUGUAUUAUAGUUGUAUGUAUUGAUGGGAUCUGUUAUUACAUAUUCAUCCCAUCAGACAUUUUGUUCUCAGCAGUUCCUUGUUGGCUAAACUUCCAGUGAAGUUUUUUUUUUUUUUUUCCUUUUCUCUGUCCUUCCCUCUCAGGGAAUCAGCCAUCUUAGUUCUUUUCUUCUUGCCAGAUACCCUACACCCUCUGCACUUAGCUCAGUUACCUUAGACCCAUCACUAUUGAAGGAAGAGAAGGCUCUUCAGUUAGCAAUUCACUCAUUUGAACAUUAGUAACCAACUUUUGUUGUAACUGAGCGUGUCUUAAGAUGGGGGGAGGUCUCAUGUCAUUCUCAGGAGAAUCUUCCAAUGUGUAUUAUAUUGCUUUCCCAAGAGGAAUUCUGGUGAGUGAAAUCGUCUCCAUCUUGUUAUGUACACCACACACACAUUCUAUAACACCAUUUUCUGUCCUCUUCAUCUGUACCCCAGUUAUCUCAGAUUUCUCAAUUUUCCUUCCUCUUUCUUCAACUUACAUGGGAGUUAAUAUCUGACCAUAAUUGUGACUGGUAGUCAUGAUCCUGUGCAAGUAGAAUUAUGUAAAGGAAAAGUCAUGAAUUAAUUUUAAACCCAUUAAAAAUAAAGUCUCCAUAUCUCAAAGUCCUACCUAAAUACCCAGAAAUAUCCUCCAGAAUUUUAGAAGCUAUGUCAGUUUACAUUUUUUUCCUUCCAGAACUAACACUAGGUAAAUAAAGUCUGUGUAUAAUUUUCCCAUAUGAUGCCUUUCUAAUGUUUAUUAUUACAAACUGCAUUAUAUUCCAUUAUGGUCCUAAUAUGACUUUAUGCCAGUUUCAUCCCUGUAAGUUUCACCCCUACCCAAGUACUUCAAUCUGCUGUGCUGUUACUUUAGCUUCUGAUUUUGCAUACACAGUUCACUCUGUCCUUGACCUGUUGCUUUGCUUGGUGAGUUCCUUUAUCUUUCAUGCUAGGCCAAGAGUUAUCUACUGUGUUUGUGUGUACACAUUUUUCUUCAUUAAUAAUGUAAGAUAUUCUGGGUCAUCUGGAUGGUCAGUUUUGCUUUUUGGGGUGGGUACCAGGGAUUGAACUCAAGGGCACUUGACCUCAAGCCACAUCCCCAGCCCUAUUUUGUAUUUUAUUUAGAGACAGGGUCUCACUGAAUUUAGGGCCUUGCUAAGUUGCUGAUGCUGGCUUUGAACACAUGAUCCUCCUGCCUCAGCCUCCCGAGCCACUGGGAUUACAGAUUUCAGGAUUGCCAUUGCUAGUUGUCUACAACUCAAUUUUACAUGUGUUCUAAAGACUCCUGGUCCAAGUUAAGUUACUAAGGCUGUUAAAUCAAGAAUCUUUGAGAAUCAGGAAAGCUCUCCCCAGAAAAAUACAUACAAAUUGGAAUUUGUGAAUCUUCUGAAACCCAUCCUUUGGACCCCUGUGGUCCUUUAUGCAUUCCUAAAAUUGAAUUCUUGAAUUAAGGAAAAAAUUACCAAAUAACUUCCACAAUAACUUCUGCUUGUCCCUCAGUUUUUGGGAUGAAAUUAUCAAAAUACCCUCCCAAGGUAAAGCUGGAAAUGGAUGGCAGCUGGAGCCUGAGUAAAAAUACAGUGAGAAGGGUGGGGACAAUUCUAGUCAUAACUUGAAUAAGGGAGCCUCAGUGAGAAGUCAGUAUGAAGUCAUCCACUUGCUGUAAUGUGAUAGCAAAGUGCAGGUGGGGUGAGCUGAGACUUGGGUGACUUGAAUAACCUGGUGGUGGUCAGCACUGUGAAGCACUGAACUUGAAUUGCACCUCCUCUCAGGUAUGCUCUCACAGCAGCUUCCUGUCAGGACUCAGACCCAUAUUAUGGUAAGUCACAAAAAACAGUGCUUCCUAUGUGGCAGUACCUCCUAUUGACCUUCCUGUUCAUAUGAACAGCUACUGAGCACUGCACUUGGAAUUUGUACUGGAUGCUGCCUCAAGAACCCACACUUCAUUACUAAAGCAAUGAAUUCUAUCAAGUACAGCACAGGAAGUGGAGACCACACAAUGCAGACUGCUGCUCAAAUAUCUGCUGAGAGAAAAUGUUCCAACUUUUUCAAGAUGUUCUCUCCAUUCCAUCCAACCUCCCUCUCCCAGGCAGUCUUCACAGGAUGAUUUCUGAAAGGGCUUCCCUGUUCAUGGCCACACCCCAGGAAACCAUGGUGCAAGGGAAACAUGGAAGCAGGAAAAUAGGACAGCAAGAAGAUCCUGGAAUAGCAAAUGUUUAAAUUGCUUGGUUGUCUGCAAGUCCCUUCAUCAGUGGUUUCUUUAUUCCAGGCAGGGUUUGCUUGCUUCUUGCACCUUCCUAUUAGUGAGAUUUUACUGGUGGAGCCAAUGAAGUAGAAUGGAAAUGUACUCAGCUGAAACUAAGAUCUUGUAAAUAGCUGGACAUGGUGGCACACAGCUGUAAUCCCAGUGACUGGUAUAGCUGAGACAGGAGGAUCACAUGUUCAAGGCCAACCUCAGCAACUCUGCUCCAUAAAAGGAGAACCAUUUUUUUCCCCUUCCAGGUACUAGGGAGUGAACCCAGGGUGCUUUGCCACUGAGCUACAUCCCCACCUCUUUUUGACAAAAGUUUUAAGUUACCCCUUAAACCUUUGAACUUGUGAUCCUCCUGCCUAAGCCUCCCAAGUUGCUGGGAUUACAGGCCUGUACCACUCCACCUGGCUCUAUAGGAGUUAGUAGGCAAAUGGCCGUCCUGCCAGAGGCAUUUUCCAAACUCCUUGGGAGAUACAUGUAGCCACAUAAUCACAUUCUGACCAAAGGAUUGGGCUACCUUGCAUGACACUUGCUGAAAGGGAAAUUGCUUGUCCUUGUGAUUAUUUCCAAUUUCCUGUGAGCUGGAAUAAGAAUAUGGCAACGAUACAGCUUCAACCAUACAAAAAUAUCACCAGGGAAUAAAAACAAGAUGAAAAAUAUAUAGGCUCCUGAGUAUUAAGUGAAACUGAACUGGUCUGCCCUCUAGACCAGAGCUUGGCACUUUUUCUGUAAAAGGCCAGAUGGUAAAU